rnacentral:rRNA from 1 species
UACGUAGGUGGCAAGCGUUGUCCGGAAUUAUUGGGCGUAAAGCGCGCGCAGGCGGAUCUGCCAGUCUGUCUUAAAAGUUCGGGGCUUAACCCCGUGAUGGGAUGGAAACUACAGAUCUAGAGUAUCGGAGAGGAAAGUGGAAUUCCUAGUGUAGCGGUGAAAUGCGUAGAUAUUAGGAAGAACACCAGUGGCGAAGGCGACUUUCUGGACGAAAACUGACGCUGAGGCGCGAAAGCCAGGGGAGCGAACGGGAUUAGAUACCCCGGUAGUCCUGGCCGUAAACGAUGGGUACUAGGUGUAGGAGGUAUCGACCCCUUCUGUGCCGCAGUUAACGCAAUAAGUACCCCGCCUGGGGAGUACGACCGCAAGGUUGAA